UACGGAGGGGGCUAGCGUUGUUCGGAAUUACUGGGCGUAAAGCGCGCGUAGGCGGGCUGUUAAGUCGGGGGUGAAAUCCCGGGGCUCAACCCCGGAACGGCCUCCGAUACUGGCAGCCUUGAGGUCGGGAGAGGUGAGUGGAAUGGCGAGUGUAGAGGUGAAAUUCGUAGAUAUUCGCCGGAACACCAGUGGCGAAGGCGGCUCACUGGCCCGAUACUGACGCUGAGGUGCGACAGCGUGGGGAGCAAACAGG
rnacentral:rRNA from 1 species